rnacentral:rRNA from 1 species
UACAGAGGGCUCGAGCGUUAGGCGGAAUCACUGGGCUUAAAGCGUGUGUAGGUGGAUGCCUAAGUACCUUGUGAAAUCCCACGGCUUAACCGUGGAACUGCUUGGUAUACUGGGUGUCUUGAGCCAGCUAGGGGCUACCGGAACAAAUGGUGGAGCGGUGAAAUGCGUAGAUAUCGUUUGGAACGCCAAUGGUGAAAACAGGUCGCUGGGGUUGUGCUGACGCUGAGACACGAAAGCCAGGGGAGCGAACGGG